GUUGCUGACGAGUGGCGGACGGGUGAGUAACGCGUAGGAAUCUACCGAGUAGUGGGGGACAACAGUUGGAAACGACUGCUAAUACCGCAUAAUCCCUGAGGGGGAAAGGAGGGGAUCUGUUUACAGACCUUUCGCUAUUUGAUGAGCCUGCGUGAGAUUAGCUAGUUGGUGAGGUAAUGGCUCACCAAGGCGACGAUCUCUAGCUGGUCUGAGAGGAUGAUCAGCCACACUGGAACUGAGACACGGUCCAGACUCCUACGGGAGGCAGCAGUGGGGAAUAUUGCACAAUGGGGGAAACCCUGAUGCAGCCAUGCCGCGUGUGUGAAGAAGGCCUUCGGGUUGUAAAGCACUUUCAGCGAGGAGGAAAGGAGUAUGUUUAAUAAACGUGCUCUGUGACGUUACUCGCAGAAGAAGCACCGGC
rnacentral:rRNA from 1 species